UUCAAGAGAUUCUCUUGCCUUAGCCUCCUGAGUAGCUGGGACUACAGGCGCCCGCCACCACGCCCGGCUAAUUUUUGUAUUUUUAGUAGAGAUGGCGUUUCACCAUGUUGGCCAGGCUGAUUUUGAACUCCUGACCUCAGGUGAUCCACCUGCCUCAGCCCCCCAAAGUGCUGGGAUUACAGGCAUGAGCCACCGUGCCCGGCUGUAUUAUCUGUUAAAGGACAUUUGGGUUGUUUUCACCUUUCGGUUACUAAGCUCUGCCUUCUUGACUGUGGAGGCGCCCAGCACUUGUGUUUAAUGACACAUUGUUCUGCCUUCCUUCUGUAUAUGCUUGUUCUGUGGACAGAGUGACCUGGCCCUGGCCAGUCACCCUCUAUCACCCAUUGAAUGGCCACCAGCAGGCCCUUGGAUGGAGCAAGCGCUGAUGGCCUUCUCUCCCCUCAGAACUACCGGAUUUGUUUCUCUUUUUCGUAUCAGAAUAAACACCCUGAGUUUCCUUGGUGUCUCUCCGAGAAUAAGACGGGGAGGAAAGCUACCCUUGCACAGCGCCUGUCCCAGGGCACUUCCUCCAGGUGGUGAUCCACAUCCCUGGGAGCCCCACCUCUUUGUCCCAGACUUCCCCUUGGGAUCAGGGCUGUCAUUUGUAGACAGCCCCACUGGGACCCUGGCCGCUUCCCACCAUCUUCUGCAGUUGCCUCUUUGUUGGGCAAAGACUCUGAGGUUUUGCAGCACUUGCUGUGCCCGUGCAGCUGGCACCAACAGAACGUUCUGAGUCUGACCAACUUCCUCCCUGUCCUCCGUGCCUCCUGCCUCUAUCUUCAUGCUUGUGUGGGACGAAGGACUCCCAGCUCCAAGUGCCAGAAAACCAGCACAGCUAGCAAAGAGGGGACCUGUGUCUUGUCCCGUGUGGCUGGGACACACCACGUGUAUGUCCCUGGCUUCAACAGGGAUCAGGGCUCAGGGAGACCCCUCAGCCUCCCUGGCUGCGCCGGGCACAUUCUUGUCCACUCUGCAGGACCCCACACCUCUGCCUGUGAGGCUGGGGAAGGUGGUUUUCCAUAGCGGCAGAUUAGUGAUAUCCCAGCCAUGUGACAGAGGUAUGCUUCCUGAGUCUGACGUCAUUCCAGGGAAGGAUUCUGAUUGGUGCUGUUCAGGACACAGGUGCAUUGCUACACCACAAAAGCGAGGGUGAGUCAGGUGCUCCCUUCUGUGGCCUGGGUUGAGAAAUGGGUGGUCCAUCAGUGGGUUUUCCAGACCCUUCCAUGUGCCGGGUGUUGGCCCUUGUAUGCACAUGUGUGAGCGUGUGCGUUUACUCACCCUUCAAAACCUGGCUAUAAAAAGACAUUCGGUGCAGAUUCAUUUGACCGGAAGCCUUUUCCUUCUCUCUGAUUUAUCCUCCACAUCUAGCCUGUGCCCAGCACACACAGUGGGUACUUAAAUAUAGGUCAAAUGACAGACUGAGAACCCACUGUGAUUUGUCUGUUUUUGCAAAAGGUAGGACUGCCCCCUUCCACGAAGACCAAUCUCUUUCUAUGAGACCAUCAGGUGCCACUCAUGUGGAAUUCAUUCUGAAGUGAACCCUUUAAAAGAAGCACCAGUGGCUUUUUCUUUUUUAGUCAAUUUUCCGGGAAAGUGCUGAAAUCUGCAGUGAGUGAAAGAGCAGAUUUUGAUUUCCCUUUAAAAAAAUUAUCAUAAAAGAGAAACUCAGCGUCUUUGAAAUUGAAGCUUCCCAGAAAC
rnacentral:lncRNA from 1 species